AGAGUUUGAUCCUGGCUCAGGAUGAACGCUGGCGGCGUGCUUAACACAUGCAAGUCGAACGAACCUUCGGGUUAGUGGCGGACGGGUGAGUAACGCGUGAGAAUCUGCCCUCAGGAGGGGGAUAACAGUUGGAAACGACUGCUAAUACCCCAUAUGCCGAGAGGUGAAAUGAAUUUCGCCUGGGGAUGAGCUCGCGUCUGAUUAGCUUGUUGGUGGGGUAAUAGCCUACCAAGGCUUCGAUCAGUAGCUGGUCUGAGAGGACGAUCAGCCACACUGGGACUGAGACACGGCCCAGACUCCUACGGGAGGCAGCAGUGGGGAAUUUUCCGCAAUGGGCGAAAGCCUGACGGAGCAACGCCGCGUGAGGGAUGGAGGCCUUUGGGCUGUAAACCUCUUUUCUCAAGGAAGAAGAUCUGACGGUACUUGAGGAAUAAGCCACGGCUAAUUCCGUGCCAGCAGCCGCGGUAAUACGGGAGUGGCAAGCGUUAUCCGGAAUUAUUGGGCGUAAAGCGUCCGCAGGCGGCCGUUUAAGUCUGUUGUUAAAUCGUGGGGCUCAACUCCAUCACGGCAAUGGAAACUGUUCGGCUUGAGUAUGGUAGGGGCAGAGGGAAUUUCCGGUGUAGCGGUGAAAUGCGUAGAUAUCGGGAAGAACACCAGUGGCGAAAGCGCUCUGCUGGGCCAUUACUGACGCUCAUGGACGAAAGCCAGGGGAGCGAAAGGGAUUAGAUACCCCUGUAGUCCUGGCCGUAAACGAUGAACACUAGAUGUUGGGGGAAUCGACCCCCUCGGUGUCGUAGCUAACGCGUUAAGUGUUCCGCCUGGGGAGUACGCACGCAAGUGUGAAACUCAAAGGAAUUGACGGGGGCCCGCACAAGCGGUGGAGUAUGUGGUUUAAUUCGAUGCGACGCGAAGAACCUUACCAAGGCUUGACAUCCUGCGAAUCUCUAAGAAAUUAGAGAGUGCCUUCGGGAACGCAGUGACAGGUGGUGCAUGGCUGUCGUCAGCUCGUGUCGUGAGAUGUUGGGUUAAGUCCCGCAACGAGCGCAACCCACGUUUUUAGUUGCCAGCAUUCAGUUGGGCACUCUAGAAAGACUGCCGGUGACAAACCGGAGGAAGGUGUGGACGACGUCAAGUCAUCAUGCCCCUUACGCCUUGGGCUACACACGUACUACAAUGCUGCGGACAAAGAGUAGCGAUCUUGCGAAAGUUAGCUAAUCUCAUAAACCGUGGCUCAGUUCAGAUCGUAGGCUGCAACUCGCCUACGUGAAGGAGGAAUCGCUAGUAAUCGCAGGUCAGCAUACUGCGGUGAAUACGUUCCCGGGCCUUGUACACACCGCCCGUCACACCAUGGAAGUUGGCCAUGCCCGAAGUCGUUACUCUAACCUUUUGGAAGAGGGCGCCGAAGGCAGGGCUAAUGACUGGGGUGAAGUCGUAACAAGGUAACC
rnacentral:rRNA from 1 species